rnacentral:misc_RNA from 1 species
AAGUCGUAACAAGGUUUCCGUAGGUGAACCUGCGGAAGGAUCAUUACCGUAUAUUUGCUUCAAUAGCAAGAUACACUGUUGCCGUCCCCGUAAUCGUUGCGCGGUCCAAGGGGCUCUGAGGCGGGUGAAACCGUCUGGAGCCGGCGCGACGCGGCGGUCUCGAUGCCGUCGUUACGCAGAAACUAACAAGCAAGCGCCGACGCGUGCUGCCGUAAAUCGGGUACCUUCAGCAGCCGGCCGUAUUGGCGAGGUUUAAUGAACCGUCGUCGGUCGCCCGGGCGCGCGUCGCGUUGCGCAUUUCUUUAACCGUCACUGUUGUUAAAUUUGCCGUUGACUCAGCGUCGCUCGAUGCCUCGAGAGACUAAAGUCAAAGUAAAAACGAAAUAAAACUCUUGGCGGUGGAUCACUCGGCUCGUGU